CCUGUUAGCCUUGAGGAUUUCGCUUUAUUUAACAUGGGUAACCAAUGAAAGUCUCAAUGAAGGACUUAUUUCCAGAAGGGCUCACGACACGUGUCUCUCAC